GGGGACAUUCUGCAGCAGAUAAUGACCAUCAUCGACCAGACCCUGGACAAGGCCCAGGCCAAGAAACACGCCCUAAACUGCCACCGAAUGAAACCUGCUCUCUUUAACGUCCUGUGUGAAAUCAGGGAGAAAAACGGCCUCAGCAUUCAAAGCUCCCAAGAAGAGGAGCCGGUGGACCCACAGCUGAUGAGCUUGGACAACAUGCUUCUGGCGGAGGGUGUGGCUGGGCCUGAGAAAGGCGCGGGGGGCGGGGGGGUGCUCCGCAGCAGCGGCUCUGCAGCCUCCGGGGGCGGCGUGUCCCCUGACAACUCCAUCGAGCACUCCGACUAUCGUAGCAAACUUGCCCGGAUCCACCACAUCUACCACUCGGGGCUGGAAAAGGAUGAGCUGGCAUGUAAUGAGUUCAUGAACCUACUGAGGGAGCAGAGCCGCACAAGGACUGUGGCACCCAAAGAGGUGGAGCGCAUGGUGAGCAUCAUCCAUCGAAAGUUCAGCGCCAUCCAGAUGCAGCUCAAGCAGAGCACCUGAGAGGCCGUCAUGAUCCUGCGUUCCCGUUUACUGGACGCCAGACGAAAGCGCCCUAAUUUCAGCAAACAGGCCACUGAGGUCCUAAAUGAAUAUUUCUACUCCCAUUUGAGUAACCCAUAUCCUAGUGAGGAGGCUAAGGAGGAGCUCGCCAAGAAGUGCGGCAUCUCCGUCUCUCAGGUCUCCAACUGGUUUGGCAACAAGCGGAUUCACUAUAAGAAAAAUAUUGGAAAGUUCCAAGAGGAGGCAAACAUCUCUGCUGUCAAGACUGCCGUGUCAGUCACCCAGGGGGGCCAUAGCUGCACCAGCUCCCCGACACCCCCUUCCUCCACAGGAUCCGGAGACAUGUUUCUAGGGGUGCCCGGGCUCAAUGGAGAUUCCUAUUCUGCUUCCCAGGUGGAAUCACUCGGACACUCGAUGGGGCCAGAGGGCUACAGGGAUAACCUCGGGGAGGUCAGAUGUGCAGCCCUCGGGAAAUGAGGGCAAACGGCCCCUGGCAGGAGACUGUGGCCCCAUCUUCAGUGACAUCCCCGACAGAGGGACCUCCAGGGAGUGUUCACUCUGACACCUCCAGCUGA